rnacentral:rRNA from 1 species
UGCCAGCAGCCGCGGUAAUACGUAUGGUGCAAGCGUUAUCCGGAAUCACUGGGCGUAAAGGGAGCGUAGGCGGGCGAUUAAGUCAGGGGUGAAAGUUUGCGGCUCAACCGUAAAAUUGCCUUUGAUACUGGUCGUCUUGAAUGACUGUGAAGUGGUUAGGAUGUGUAGUGUAGCGGUGAAAUGCAUAGAUAUUACACAGAAUACCGAUUGCGAAGGCAGAUCACUAACAGUUCAUUGACGCUGAGGGACGAGAGCGUGGGGAGCGAACAGGAUUAGAUA